CUACGGGUUGCUCCAGGCGAGAAAACUUUGCAAUGUGCGAAAGCACGACAAGGUUAAUCCGAGUGUUCUCUGCUAAAGAGAUCUUUUGUCAGUCCUAAAAACACUGAUGAAUAAGGGGUGGGCAAGUUCUGGUGUCAGCCGCCGCGGUAAAACCAGCACCUCAAGUGGUCAGGAGGAUUAUUGGGCCUAAAGCAUCCGUAGCCGGCCGUGUAAGUUUUCGGUUAAAUCUAUGCGCUCAACGUAUAGGCUGCCGGGAAUACUGCACAGCUAGGAAGUGGGAGAGGUAGACGGUACUCGGUAGGAAGGGGUAAAAUCCUUUGAUCUAUUGAUGACCACCUGUGGCGAAGGCGGUCUACUAGAACACGUUCGACGGUGAGGGACGAAAGCUGGGGGAGCAAACCGGAUUAGAUACCCCUGUAGUC
rnacentral:rRNA from 1 species